rnacentral:rRNA from 1 species
AACGUAGGAGACAAACGUUAUCCGGAGUUACUGGGCGUAAAGGGCGUGUAGGUGGUAAUGUAAGUCUGGCGUGAAAUUUUUCGGCUUAACCGGGAAAGGUCGUCGGAUACUGCAUCACUAGAGGACGGUAGAGGCGUGUGGAAUUCCGGGUGUAGUGGUGAAAUGCGUAGAGAUCCGGAGGAACACCAGUGGCGAAGGCGACUUACUGGACUGUA